rnacentral:rRNA from 1 species
UACGUAGGGUGCGAGCGUUGUCCGGAAUCACUGGGCGUAAAGGGCGCGUAGGCGGCGCGGGUAGUCAACGGUGAAAGCUUGGGGCUCAACCCCGAGUCGGCCGUCGAUACUCCCGUGCUUGAGCACUGUAGAGGCAGGUGGAAUUCCGGGUGUAGCGGUGGAAUGCGUAGAGAUCCGGAAGAACACCGGUGGCGAAGGCGGCCUGCUGGGCAGUAGCUGACGCUGAGGCGCGACAGCGUGGGGAGCAAACAGG